rnacentral:lncRNA from 1 species
UUGGGAACAUGGGAACCGAAGAUCUAUAAUUGAUCGUCUGCAGAGUUUAAUUCACCUCUUAUAACUUACACACACUUGCUGGACCAGUUGGCUUUUGCACCUAAGACAUAAAUGAUUCGUAUGAUGAAGUUUUACCUAAUGAACUAUAUCAUUUUAGUCUGGUGGUAAACGGCUUGUGGCUGCAAGUACGGCCCCGGGUUUGACUCGCACUGGCCACCAGGGAAUUUACAUGCGGACUUGCUCUGGCGCCCGAGACCGAAGACCGUUGCCUGGCCAUGAUCCACCUUCGGGUGUGCGUCCGCGCCGCUAAAGGAUUCGGUUUCUAGUCUGGACCACCACGGUGUGGUCAGGACACUCGGUUAUCAAAAAAAAAAAAAAACUAUAUCAUUUUAGAACAAUUUUGGUAUAAAACCCGGAUUAUCUGAAUACAAAAAACGAAUGAGGUUACUCAAAGGAACAAAUAUUACCAAUGCUAAUAAAAUAUCCAAGCGAGGUUAUUUUUAGGAUUUGAAUAUAUAAGUACAUCAGUAAUGUCGGAUACCUUGUAAUUGAGUAUGGAGAUAUUAAAUACCGAUAAAUAUGCUGCAUGGGUACGAAUAUAGGUACCACCGUCAAAGAUAUUAUCAUUU